rnacentral:rRNA from 1 species
UAGAGUUUGAUCCUGGCUCAGAAUGAACGUGGCGGCGUGGAUUAGGCAUGCAAGUCGAGCGCGAACCCGCAAGGGGGAGAGCGGCGAACGGCGUAGUAAUGGAUCGGAACGUACCCUUCGGCCGGGGAUAGCUACGGGAAACUGUAGGUAAUACCCGAUAACAUCUGCGGAUCAAAGGUGAGAUUCCGCCGGGGGAGCGGCUGAUUUGAUAUUAGCUAGUUGGUGGGGUAAUGGCUUACCAAGGCGAUGAUGUCUAGGGGGUGUGAGAGCAUGGCCCCCACGACCGGAACUGAGAUACUGUCCGGACACCUACGGGUGGCUGCAGUCGAGAAUCUUCCGCAAUGGACGAAAGUCUGACGGAGCGACGCCGCGUGCGGGAUGAAGGCCCUUGGGUUGUAAACCGCUGUCAGAGGGGAUGAAAUCUUCGGAGGUCCUCCUCCGAAGUUGACAGAGCCUCAAAGGAAGCACGGGCUAAGUACGUGCCAGCAGCCGCGGUAACACGUACUGUGCGAACGUUAUUCGGAAUCACUGGGCUUAAAGGGUGCGUAGGCGGCGAUACAAGUCAGGUGUGAAAUGCCGGAGCUCAACUGCGGCAUUGCGCUUGAAACUGUGUUGCUUGAGUAUUUCAGGGGUGUGGGGAACUGCCAGUGGAGCGGUGAAAUGUGUUGAUAUUGGCAGGAACACCGGAGGCGAAAGCGCCACACUGGGGAAUAACUGACGCUGAGGCACGAAAGCCAGGGGAGCGAACGGGAUUAGAUACCCCGGUAGUCCUGGCUGUAAACGAUGAGUACUGAGCGGAAGGGAGUUUACUCCUUUCUGCUGUAGUGAAAACGUUAAGUACUCCGCCUGGGGAGUAUGGUCGCAAGGCUGAAACUCAAAGGAAUGACGGAAGGGCGA